rnacentral:rRNA from 1 species
UACAGAGGGGGCAAGCGUUGUUCGGAAUUACUGGGCGUAAAGGGCGCGUAGGCGGCCUGCUAAGUCGAACGUGAAAUCCCUGGGCUCAACCCAGGAACUGCGUCCGAUACUGGUUGGCUUGAAUCCGGGAGAGGGAUGCGGAAUUCCAGGUGUAGCGGUGAAAUGCGUAGAUAUCUGGAGGAAUACCGGUGGCGAAGGCGGCAUCCUGGACCGGCAUUGACGCUGAGGAGCGAAAGCCAGGGGAGCAAACGGG